rnacentral:rRNA from 1 species
AGAGUGGGCAUUGCCAUGGGCGCAGCCUGAUGCAGCCAUGCCGCGUGUAUGAAGAAGGCCUUCGGGUUGUAAAGUACUUUCAGUCGUGAGGAAGGUGGUGUUGUUAAUAGCAGCAUCAUUUGACGUUAGCGACAGAAGAAGCACCGGCUAACUCCGUGCCAGCAGCCGCGGUAAUACGGAGGGUGCGAGCGUUAAUCGGAAUUACUGGGCGUAAAGCGCAUGCAGGUGGUUUGUUAAGUCAGAUGUGAAAGCCCGGGGCUCAACCUCGGAAUAGCAUUUGAAACUGGCAGACUAGAGUACUGUAGAGGGGGGUAGAAUUUCAGGUGUAGCGGUGAAAUGCGUAGAGAUCUGAAGGAAUACCGGUGGCGAAGGCGGCCCCCUGGACAGAUACUGACACUCAGAUGCGAAAGCGUGGGGAGCAAACAGGAUUAGAUACCCUGGUAGUCCACGCCGUAAACGAUGUCUACUUGGAGGUUGUGGCCUUGAGCCGUGGCUUUCGGAGCUAACGCGUUAAGUAGACCGCCUGGGGAGUACGGUCGCAAGAUUAAAACUCAAAUGAAUUGACGGGGGCCCGCACAAGCGGUGGAGCAUGUGGUUUAAUUCGAUGCAACGCGAAGAACCUUACCUACUCUUGACAUCCAGAGAACUUUCCAGAGAUGGAUUGGUGCCUUCGGGAACUCUGAGACAGGUGCUGCAUGGCUGUCGUCAGCUCGUGUUGUGAAAUGUUGGGUUAAGUCCCGCAACGAGCGCAACCCUUAUCCUUGUUUGCCAGCGAGUAAUGUCGGGAACUCCAGGGAGACUGCCGGUGAUAAACCGGAGGAAGGUGGGGACGACGUCAAGUCAUCAUGGCCCUUACGAGUAGGGCUACACACGUGCUACAAUGGCGCAUACAGAGGGCAGCCAACUUGCGAAAGUGAGCGAAUCCCAAAAAGUGCGUCGUAGUCCGGAUUGGAGUCUGCA